GGGGGCUAGCGUUAUCCGGAUUUACUGGGCGUAAAGGGUGCGUAGGCGGUCUUUCAAGUCAGGAGUGAAAGGCUACGGCUCAACCGUAGUAAGCUCUUGAAACUGGGAGACUUGAGUGCAGGAGAGGAGAGUGGAAUUCCUAGUGUGGCGGUGAAAUGCGUAGAUAUUAGGAGGAACACCAGUUGCGAAGGCGGCUCUCUGGACUGUAACUGACGCUGAGGCACGAAAGCGUGGGGAGCAAACAGGAUUAGAUACCCUGGUAGUCCACGCUGUAAACGA
rnacentral:rRNA from 1 species